rnacentral:rRNA from 1 species
GACGAACGCUGGCGGCGUGCUUAACACAUGCAAGUCGAACGGAGAAGCUCCAACUUUCUGGCGUGGAUCAGUGCCGAACGGGUGAGUAACACGUGAGCAACCUCCCCCUGACUCUCGAAUAAACCCUCGAAACAGCGGCUCAUACUGGAGACGAGAAGGUGCCGCAUGGGCACCUUCUGGAAAGUUUUUCGGUUCGGGAUGGGCUCGCAGCCUAUCAGCUUGUUUGGGAGGUAAUGGCUGACCAGGGCGACGAGGGGUAGCCGGCCUGAGAGAGCGGACGGCCACACUGGGACUGAGAGAGGGCCCAGACUGCUACGGGAGGCAGCAGGGGGGAAUCUUGCGCAGUGGGGGAAAGUGUGAUGCAGCGGCGUCGCGUGAGGGAUGACGGGCUUCGGGUUGUAAACCUCUUUCAGCGGGGAAGAAGCGAAAGUGACGGUACCUGCAGAAGAAGCACCGGCUAACUACGUG